rnacentral:rRNA from 1 species
UCAAGUCCGAUGCUAAAGACUGGGGCUCAACCCCAGGGGUGCGUUGGAUACUGUGAGGCUAGACGGUCGGAGGGGGUAGCGGAAUUUCCGGAGUAGCGGUGAAAUGCGCAGAUACCGGAAGGAACGCCAAUAGCGAAGGCAGCUACCUGGACGACUUGUGACGCUGAGGCGCGAAAGCGUGGGGAGCAAACCGGAUUAGAUACCCGGGUAGUCCACGCCCUAAACCAUGAGUGCUGGGUGUCCGGCUUCUGCUGGGUGCCGUAGCUAACGCGCUAAGCACUCCGCCUGGGAAGUACGCACGCAAGUGUGAAACUCAAAGGAAUUGACGGGGGCCCGCACAAGCGGUGGAGCAUGUGGUUUAAUUCGAAGCGACGCGAAGAACCUUACCAGGCCUUGACAUGCCCGGAACCCCUCUGAAAGGAGGGGGUGCCCGCAAGGGAGCCGGGACACAGGUGCUGCAUGGCCGUCGUCAGCUCGUGUCGUGAGAUGUUGGGUCAAGUCCCGCAACGAGCGCAACCCCUAUCCCUAGUUGCCAGCAGUUCGGCUGGGCACUCUAUGGAGACUGCCUGCGAAAGCAGGAGGAAGGCGGGGAUGACGUCUGGUCCGCAUGGCCCUUACGGCCUGGGCGACACACGUGCUACAAUGCCAAGGACAGAGCGCUGCUACCUCGCGAGAGGACGCCAAUCGCAAAAACCUUGGCUCAGUUCGGAUUGGAGUCUGCAACUCGACUCCAUGAAGCCGGAAUCGC